rnacentral:rRNA from 2 species
GGGNGGACGUGCUCGCAUAUUGGGCGUAAGAGCUCGUAGGCGGUUUGUCGCGUCUGCUGUGAAAUCCCGAGGCUCAACCUCGGGCUUGCAGUGGGUACGGGCAGACUAGAGUGCGGUAGGGGAGAUUGGAAUUCCUGGUGUAGCGGUGGAAUGCGCAGAUAUCAGGAGGAACACCGAUGGCGAAGGCAGAUCUCUGGGCCGUAACUGACGCUGAGGAGCGAAAGCAUGGGGAGCGAACAGGAUUAGAUACCCUGGUAGUCCAUGCCGUAAACGUUGGGCGCUAGAUGUAGGGACCUUUCCACGGUUUCUGUGUCGUAGCUAACGCAUUAAGCGCCCCGCCUGGGGAGUACGGCCGCAAGGCUAAAACUCAAAGGAAUUGACGGGGGCCCGCACAAGCGGCGGAGCAUGCGGAUUAAUUCGAUGCAACGCGAAGAACCUUACCAAGGCUUGACAUACACCGGAAACGGCCAGAGAUGGUCGCCCCCUUGUGGUCGGUGUACAGGUGGUGCAUGGUUGUCGUCAGCUCGUGUCGUGAGAUGUUGGGUUAAGUCCCGCAACGAGCGCAACCCUCGUUCUAUGUUGCCAGCGGGUUAUGCCGGGGACUCAUAGGAGACUGCCGGGGUCAACUCGGAGGAAGGUGGGGAUGACGUCAAAUCAUCAUGCCCCUUAUGUCUUGGGCUUCACGCAUGCUACAAUGGCCGGUACAAAGGGCUGCGAUACCGUAAGGUGGAGCGAAUCCCAAAAAGCCGGUCUCAGUUCGGAUUGAGGUCUGCAACUCGACCUCAUGAAGUCGGAGUCGCUAGUAAUCGCAGAUCAGCAACGCUGCGGUGAAUACGUUCCCGGGCCUUGUACACACCGCCCGUCAAGUCAUGAAAGUCGGUAACACCCGAAGCCGGUGGGCUAACCCUUGUGGAAGGAGCCGUCGAAGUGGGAUCGGUGAUUAGGACGAAGUCGUAUAGAG